AAAGAAAAAUCCAAUCCCCGAACACCUCGUCCCUCCAUGCCCCGAACCCUCGACCUACCUAUCCCAGGCUCUCAGCCUCCCUCCCUGCGCCGCCGCUAGCACCUCCAUCCCUAGCUGGCCGCCAUCACACCCCCAGCAGCCAUGUACAGCGGGGCGGCCCAAGGAAAGGAGCUCCCCUCCCCGACCCGAUCUGAUGGAGAGAACGCCAGGCCUUGCCACUCCGGUUGUCGCUGUGGCCAGAUCCGAUCGUGGGAGCCACCGGAGAGCCUCCAUGUCGGCGGAGCAGAGCAGUCCGACAGUGGUGGGUGCCCGAUCUCGUCCAGCAAGUCGCCGUUGGUUGCCACGACCACCUCAUUCCCUGUCGCCCCUCUCCUUCAACCAUGGUGGCGCUCCUCCCCGCAUUGCCGUCGUUGGUGGAGCUCGCCUCACCCUCCUCACCCCGUCAGCUGCAACCGCUCCUUACCUCCACGGUGCUCCUCUUCUACAUCCAACGCAGGCCAGUGAACGGCGACGACUAGGAGGCCUCUACCUCGACUCUACCGGCCGUGGUCGCCCCGCGUCUCCGCGCCCCCGCCCCUUAGCAUCGCGUCGACGCGUCGCAUCCCUCUCAACGAAGAGAGGAAGAGGUGUACGAGAGUGGGGAGAACGCUGUUCGCGGGGCCUCCAAGCACAAAGACACAAGAGGAGAAGCGGAUGUGACGGAAAUCUCACAAUCGCAUCUCCCGUCUCUCUCAUGUCAAGUCAGGUGACGAAGACCGGCGACUGCGACCACGCUCUACCAUCGUGCAUCUCUCUCCGCCUAUCUUCCCGCCCCUCUUCGCUUGUCUAUCCUUGAAUUCAGAAUUUCGCUAUCAUUGGUGACCACUGCAUCAUCAUCAUCGAUGGAGAUGCUAUUGAUGUCGAUGAACAUGGCUGUGUAAAAGGCAAGGACAUGGAUGGUAUUCAUGUGAGGGGAACAUGCUGGAGCAAAGGAUCUGCGUCAUGGUCUUAUUUCAUUGCUGAAAAUCACAAGGAUGUAGUGGGGUGUGUCUGCCAUGAACGAGGUGCACCUGGGUAUGAUCUUGCCAUGAACAUGACAGCUUAUCAAGUUUCGUCAGAGUUAUGUUUUGGUUGGCUGAUAGCUUGCAAGAUCUUCAUCUUCUACUAUCUGCUUCCUUCGGUUUGUGUAGUCUACAUAGUAGGCCAUCAUCCAGAAAGGAAGCGAUGGAUUAAAACUUGUGGGUUUAUGGCUCUUUCCUCGUGAAGAGUAUUCCGGGAAGUACGAGCUCAACUUUCAGGUUCAUCGGCUUAGGUGUCGUGCCUGCUCGGAAAGGAUGUGAUGGAGAUGGUGCACACGAACUGAUAUUUCUUAUAAGAAAGAGAAAUCAACAAGGUGCUUGGAAUUGGAAUGUUUUCAUUCUUUGAGUUUUGGUCAUUUUAAAGGAAUGAAGGGAAGGGAAGACGUGAGGAGAAAGCUCUACCUGCACAGGACACAAGAUCCGUGCCGGGAAUUCGGUUGUGCUUGUAUGUUACUGUAGAGCGACCAUUUCAGGGUGGAUGUUGAUGGUCUCAGAUUGAUUCGAUGCUGCAGCGAGGUAAAGUUGCUAUUUACUUCUCAAGUUCAGACUUGCAUAUCAAACAAACAUAACUUGGCAGCAAGGUUAACAUCUAGGAAAAAAUAUGUGUGUGUGUGUGCGCGUGCGCGUGCAUCUUGCAUGCGUCAGUGUCGAUACAUUCACAUGUUGAUAAGUAUACGAGCAUGUAGGCAAAUGAUGUCAAGACAAUUCAAGACACACAAUAUAUACUUUGGUAGAGAAAACCUUGUAUAUGUUUCAAUACAUAAUCUAAUGUGACUUUCAUGCAUUUCAAUAUCUACAAGAGGGUUAACACAAGAACCAUACAGUACCAUCUUGGAUCUUCCUGCCAUCAGAUCAAUGUUUUAAUACAUCAUUAGUGCAAGCCCAUACUAGCUGAAAACACAAACAUGGAAUUAGUUUCUAGGGGACGAUGCUUUGUUUGGAUACCAAAAAGAAAAAUAGUACACAUAGAGAGACUUUCUUCGUUGCAGAGUAACAACAUAUAAGGGUGCAUCUUUUGACCAUUUAAUGAAUCAGAGUUUUAAGUAAGACUAACUCAUAACUGGAGCGUGAGAUACUAAUUGCUUUCUUUGUAGUGAAGAUGGCCUCUUUUGGGGUGAGGCACAACUAUAGUUGCACAGCUAAAGUUCCUAUGUUCAAAGCUGGUAUGGGCUUGCACUAAUGAUGUAUUAAAACAUUGAUCUGAUGGCAGGAAGAUCCAAGAUGGUACUGUAUGGUUCUUGUGUUAACCCUCUUGUAGAUAUUGAAAUGCAUGAAAGUCACAUUAGAUUAUGUAUUGAAACAUAUACAAGGUUUUCUCUACCAAAGUAUAUAUUGUGUUUCUAUUGUUUGCCUGAGUAAUCUGAAUUCACCUUAUAUUGUUGAAGUUAUUGGUCUAUCAAUUAUUUAUCUGUAUUUCAUUUUGCCAAAAAAGCAAACAAACAGAAGAGCCAAACAUUGCAUGCUUCGACAGACGAAACCUGCCCACGGAGGUGGUGGCGCCGGUGGUAGGCGGCAAUGAGGCAACAACGCUUCAUGAGGCGGUCAAGUCUGUGGUCGUGAGUCGAUGCAUCCACCAACGCCGCAAUCGAGUCAACUUCAGGACUCCAUUAGUGAUAGUUGGCUGUGUUAAAGGAAAAAAUUAUUAGGAUAACAGAAACUGUUGGGAUAAUUUCUUUCUAUAGUGGAUGAAGUUAUUUCAAGUAACAUAUCUUGGUUUCUCCCUGUAGUCGUGUACUUAAGAAAAGCUCCAACACAAUGAAAUGGCAGCAAAGAAGCCCGUAUUAUGUUAGCACAAAAUACAUUUGGUAUUUGGCCUUCUUUUUUUUAUGUUAGCAUGUAAUUAGUCAUGUACUCCUAUACUAAAGCUAAAUCAAGUAGAUAGUCUAAAGCUUGGUCAGUUAAAAUAAUGAUUGAGUCUUUCUUA